rnacentral:lncRNA from 1 species
AUGUAUCGGGUUAGCAGUUCUUCAGCUAGGAGGUCUCAUGCUUUUGUGGAAGAGAUCGUGCUCUGUAUCACCGACUUAUCACCCAUACUUUCUCAGGAAGUUCAGGGUCUGACUGGGCUGUGCUUUUGGCCAGAAGACAGCGUAUGUUCACAUGGAGAAGAGGUGGAUCUGAAUGUCUAUGAUUCUUCAGCAAGAUUUUAGCCUUCUCUAUUGCACUGCAAGCCUUACUGCAGCCCUUACAGAGAGGAGGAGUUCCCUAUGCCUAUGAAAACGUCUCAGCUGCCUCUUCUGUACUGCCAGGGAGAUGUGGUAAGUCACAGAGGGAGUGAAACAGUGACAGCCCUUGAGACCUUCACUGCACCCCUUGUCCAAAAGUGAUACUGCUUGAGUCUGGGGUUUAGUUUCUUGGUUUCAGCACCAUGAAAGAUUCAAACACUAUGGCACGCUUCUGUUAGUAAGGAGACCAUAAUAAAAGCGCAUUAAAAUGGUUUAACUCUGCCCA